ensembl:lncRNA
UCUCCAUUCUCAAAGAGAUGUUUAAUCAGCAAGAUCAAGUCAUUCCACAGAGGAAAGAUCCAUUCUACAAGGCAAAGAUCCAUUCUACAAGGCAAAGAUCCAUUCUACAAGGCAAAGCUCCAUUCUACAAGGCAAAGCUCCAUUCUACAGAGGAAAGAUCCAUUCUACAAGGCAAAGAUCCAUUCUACAAGGCAAAGCUCCAUUCUACAAGGCAAAGCUCCAUUCUACAAGGCAAAGCUCCAUUCUACAAGGCAAAGCUCCAUUCUACAAGGCAAAGAUCCAUUCCACAGAGGAAAGAUCCAUUCUACAAGGCAAAGAUCCAUUCUACAGGGGAAAGAUACAUUCUACAAGGCAAAGCUACAUUCUACAGAGGAAAGCUACAUUCUACAGAGGAAAGCUACAUUCUACAGGGGAAAGCUACAUUCUACAGGGAAAGCUCCAUUCUACAGGGGAAAGCUACAUUCCACAGAAGAAAGCUCCAUUCUACAAGGCAAAGCUCCAUUCUACAAGGCAAAGCUCCAUUCUACAGGGGAAAGGUACAUUCUACAGAGGAAAGCUACAUUCCACAGAGGAAAGCUACAUUCUACAGAGAAAAGCUACAUUCCACAGAGGAAAGCUACAUUCUACAGAGGAAAGCUCCAUUCUACAGGGGAAAGCUACAUUCCACAGAAGAAAGCUCCAUUCUACAGGGGAAAGCUCCAUUCUACAGGGGAAAGCUCCAUUCUACAGAGGAAAGCUCCAUUUUACAGGGGAAAGCUCCAUUCUACAGAGGAAAGCUACACUCUACAGAGGAAAGC